rnacentral:lncRNA from 1 species
CCAGUCACCUGGUUAUGCCACAGGGCUCAUCAGCUCCUGGAAGGCCCUUCCAUGGCUCCCUAAACUAGCUGUCUCCCAGGCAGCAGUUAAAAACCGGAGGAUUUCUCACUUUUCCCCUGUACUUGCCGAUGAGGCUAGGCUGGCUGGCCAGUGAGCCCGAGGGACUCCAUUGUCUUUACCUCUCCAGAACUGGACAAGUGUGCUCCGCCACACCCAGAUUUCUUGUGUGACUUUUGGGGAUCAAAUUGAGGUCUCAUGCUUGAAUAGCAGAAACUUUACUCACAGAACCGUUU